AUCUAUCUGAAGAGUCCCAAAUAAGACGAGAUGCUCGACCUGGAU
rnacentral:hammerhead_ribozyme from 1 species